UACGUAGGGGGCAAGCGUUGUCCGGAUUUAUUGGGCGUAAAGAGCGUGUAGGCGGCUAGGUAGGUCCGUUGUGAAAACUCGAGGCUCAACCUCGAGACGUCGAUGGAAACCAUCUAGCUAGAGUCCGGAAGAGGAGAGUGGAAUUCCUGGUGUAGCGGUGAAAUGCGCAGAUAUCAGGAAGAACACCGGUGGCGAAGGCGGGAUCCUGGGCCAGUACUGACGCUGAGGAGCGAAAGCGUGGGGAGCAAACAGG
rnacentral:rRNA from 1 species